UCACUGACGGCAACUUACCAUCAGUACAACUGCAAAGUCAACUUCAUUAAACCAAAACCUGGGUUCCUGUCACUUAGAAAUGGAAAUACUGGAUGGAUGGAAGUUGAAGAUGUAUAAAGGAAAGAUGCAGAAUAGAUGAUCCAGAGAAUUCAUCAGCCAUUCUCACAGUCUAACAGCGGUGGCCCUGUCUCACUCUAAUUGCCUGUUUCCCGAGAGUUUGCUGUCAGUAUGUUGGAAUGGCUGAGUACGACUCUACGUGUUUGUUAUGUAUCAGUUUCAUCAAAGCCCAGCUUGUAGAUUUGGACAGAGGGUCUGUUGCAAAGUUCUCCAAAUAAAUGUCUGCAGCUCUGUUGCUGACACUGGCUCCUUAACCAAUUGUAAAA